ensembl:lncRNA
GUUGACUGCAAGUCUCUUUUGAUCCUGAAACUCCCACUGACUGAUUGAUAAAUAGGAGGCAGUCACCUCAAUAUCUCUGUGGAUGUGACACUUGAUUCUCAGAAAUUACCAUGUACUAGAAUUUCAGACGGGCUACUUGCACAGCGUGUCUCAGCCUUCACCUUCUAAGUAACCAGCUUAAGAAACCCCUAAUGACCUGCGUGAUUAUUAUAGCAUAUAAUGUGUACUUGGUUGUUUUUCAGUGUUUCUCACCAAUAAUUAGAUGCCAAAUUUACCUGAAUCAGUGGAAGGACUCCAUCUAGCAGCAUGUACCCUGCGUCAGCGGUGAAGCCCGUAAGUGACUCCAGGCAACUUGAAGGCCAGAUCAAUUCUGCAGCAGCUAACGCAGCCCUGUGUGUGUGUGUGCUGACAGACCACGAUACUGUUCAGAGGAAUAAAGAAGUUACAGCCAGAAGUGCUUUGCUGUGGGCAGCAUAAGAUGCAUUUACCCACAAUAAUAGGGACUCUGAGAAGUGAGGAUGACUUUUCCAGCCCUAUGUUCCAAAGGCACCGCCGUGUGGAUGCCACGAGUUCAAAAGUGGGUGCUGGCUGUACUUGGCUACACGUUUUCACCAGAAAUCUCGGAGGAUGCAGAAGAUGGGGUGCGGAACUGGAGCAUCUUGCCCGUGCUCCUGCCAUCCCCAGGUAACCAGCUGGAAGUGAGCAGCAAGGGAACCCAUCUGUUCUGCCGUGCCUGGAGGGGAGUCAGGUACAGGUGGGCUAUCAGCGCCUUCGGUGCAGGUGGCAACGUGA